rnacentral:tRNA from 1 species
GUGCCGGUGGUGUAAGGCGAACAUCGCUGCCCGGAAAGCAGAAGAUGCGGGUUCGAGUCCUGCCUGGCGCA